UCAAAACUGAGAGUCAGAUUUUCAUUUUCGUUUUUCUUUGUUGAUUUUGAUUUACAGACUCAGAUCUUGAUUUGAAUCUUCUUGUUCCCUUGAAUUAAGACUCAGAUUGAGAUACUAUGGAAGAUUUACAAAAAGUGCUUAAUAUGGAAGAUUCACCAAAAACUUCCAACAAUGAAAAAGAAUUGUCAGAAGGGACUCAAACUCCAAGAACUAUUACACAAGUUACCCCAAAUGGUUCAACCCUGUGGAUUCCUCAUUGUGAGUUUGAUAAAAAGCCAUUUGUUGGUAUGGCUUUUGAAAACUUAGAGAAAGCCUUAGAUUUUUAUGGUAAAUAUGCUGAAA